rnacentral:tRNA from 1 species
UCUUUGGUGAUCUAGUGUCUAAGACUUUGCCCUCCCAAGGCAGAGGACCUGGGUUCAAUCCCUGGUUAGGGAA